rnacentral:rRNA from 1 species
GCUUAGCCCUAAACAUCGAUUGCACCAUACACUCCAUAUCCGCCCGGGAAUUAUGAACGUCAGUUUAAAACCCAAAGGACUUGGCGGUGCUUAACAUCCACCUAGAGGAGCCUGUUCUAGAACCGAUAACCCCCGUUAAACCUCACCCUCUCUUGUUUUAUCCGCCUAUAUACCACCGUCGUCAGCUUACCCUGUGAAGGAUUUACAGUAAGCAAAAUUGGCACAGCCCAAAACGUCAGGUCGAGGUGUAGUGAAUGAGGGGGGAAGAAAUGGGCUACAUUUGCUAAGUAUAGCAAACACGAAUGUUGCAUUGAAACAUGCAGCUGAAGGAGGAUUUAGCAGUAAGCAGGAAGUAGAGCGUCCCGCUGAAACUGGCCCUAAAGCGCGC